UACGUAGGGCGCAAGCGUUGUCCGGAAUUAUUGGGCGUAAAGAGCUCGUAGGCGGUCUGUUACGUCCGCUGUGAAAACCCAGGGCUUAACCCUGGGCUGGCAGUGGAUACGGGCAGACUAGAGGUAGGUAGGGGAGAAUGGAAUUCCCGGUGUAGCGGUGAAAUGCGCAGAUAUCGGGAGGAACACCGGUGGCGAAGGCGGUUCUCUGGGCCGAUAUUGACGCUGAGGAGCGAAAGCGUGGGGAGCGAACAGG
rnacentral:rRNA from 1 species